rnacentral:misc_RNA from 1 species
GAGAAAUUCGCCCUCACGGGUGACUCUCCAACCCUAUGUUAUUGUACCUUCGUUGCUUUGGCGAGCCGCCUCGUGCCACCGACUUUCGCCGGUGAGUGCUCGCCAGAGGACCUAAACUCUGUUUGUCUAUAAUGUCUGAGUACUAUAUAAUAGUUAAAACUUUCAACAACGGAUCUCUUGGUUCU